UUGCCAGGGACACCUAUGCUAAGACUUCAGGUCUUUAUACAGCUCAGUGGCCGGGUCUUUCUUGGCGAAAUAUUUGCAAAGUACACACGAAGCCCUCGCUUGCUCCGUAAAAAGUUCUCUUUCUCGGUACUUUUCAUUCGAAAAUUGUAAACUUAGUAGAGGACUUGCGAUUUUGGAUGCGAAAAGCUGGAUUUGGCGACUAGUGCGAGCUAUUUUAAGAAGCAGUAGAAGGACAGAAGUCCACAAUGCCCGGUAGAGGUUAGAAGAAGCAAUGCCAAUGGGAAACUCAAACACAAAUUUCAAUACAAGAAAGCCCUAACCAGGCCCUAACCUAGCAAAACGAUGUUGAAAACAACCCCAAAAUAACUGUUCAAUUCUCAAUGGACGAAGCAACUUACCAUGAUGCAGUAAAUCUAGAUUGAAGACUCGUUUCGUGCAAUUGGCACAACAGGAAACCUCCGAAAAUUUUACUACGAGGAAAAUUGUAAAAGAAGAAACGUGGAUCAGUAUUGCUUAUACAGCCAGGUCAUCAUCUUGGUAGAGUGAGUCUUAGCUUAGUAGAACUCUAGUAGAACUGAACAACCAGUGUCUUAAUGACUAUACCAUUAUGUUUCAUGCAUGCAUGGUACUCCACUUAAAAACAUUUUCUAAAUUUUUUGCAAAUGUGCAUGUGUGUUAAAGUGUAAAUAAAAAGUAUUAAAGAGCUAUACUAUAGAAGCAAUUCCUUUAAUGCGUAGUUGACUUGCUGUACUCAAACAGAAAUGUAAUUGAUCUCAUGUAUUCAAUACUAUAAUAAUAUAAUAACGAUAUUUGUGCUGCAUUGUUUGUUGACUCGAUCGGUAUUAUAGGUAGAAAUCUUCGAUGGAACGGAAUAUUUCGCUCAAUUUAUUUAUCUUUUCAAUUGUGAAAUUAAACCGAGGCAGAUUUACUGGAUAGAUCACAAUUGAAAAGAAAAUCAAGCGAAAAAUUUCCUUCGAUCGAAAUAAUUUACCUAUAUAGUAGAAAACCGGCCUAACACCUAAAACGGUGUUAAAUGUGUUUAACUCCAAAAAUGGAGUUAUGUUUUAAGUCCAGAAUUGGAGUUAAAUUAACUCCAAAAGCGGUGUUAAAUUAUAACACCAGAAGUGGAGUUAUUUGUUACUCCAAAAAGCUACUCAUUUUGAACCUUUUUUUUUGACCCCUUUUUUGGUGUUAAAAUA